UAUUAUAUAAAAUAUAUUUAUUAAAUGUUAUUAUUAAUAAUACUAUAAUAUAUAGAUUAAAGACAACUUUACACUGGUAAAAAAAAUAAAAGAAAAAAAACAAUAAAUAACCGUACCUAGAAACUAACUCAAGUAAGCAAGUAGAGAAUACAAAGGCGUUUGAGAGAACAAUCAUUAAGGAACUCGGCAAAUUGACUCUGUACCUUUGGAAUAAGGAGGACCAUUAUUAUUAAAUUUAACAUAUAGUAAAGUAUGAAAUUAAAUAUGAAAAAUUAAAUUAAUAAUAAGAGGAAUCAUGAAAUAAUGUUGUACGACUGUUUAAUAAAAACACAGCACUCUGCAAAGAUAAAAAAUCAAAGUAUUGAGUGUGAUGUCUGCCCAAUGUCGGCUGGGUAACGGAUCUACCUUGAUUAUUAACUGAGGUUUUGAAGGACACCCCGAUUAAUGGCGGCCUUACCUAUGAGGGUCCUAAGGUAGCGAAAUACCUUGGCCGUUAAAUGCGGUCCUGCAUGAAUGACUUAACGAUGCAACAGCUGUCUCGAUGAUUGUCUCAGUGAAAUUGGAAUAGCAGUGCAGAUACUGUUUACCUCUAGAUAGACAAGAAGACCCUAUGCAGCUUUACUGUUACUAAUUAUAGGAGUGAAAUUUUAGGAUGAUUUAUAGUGUAUAAGGUAGUUGUUUAGAUAAUAAUGAAACACCUUUAUUCGAAUCCUUAUAUAUACUCUUAAUGAUUAGAAGGCAGUUUAUGCGGGGCACAGAUCCCACAAAAAGUACCUGGGUAUAUCCAAAGUUCAUAUUGUAAACUUGUAUAUUUAUAUACAAAUAUUUUAAUUUGUUCUAAUUAUUAUUAUAAUUAUACAGUUAUUAUUCGAUUAAAUUCCACAAUUAUUUUUUAUUUUAAGUAAGAUUUUAACUAUGCGGUGAAUAGAUGUAUUUUAAACUUUACUGGACUUUGUUCUAAUUUUAGUUCAAAGAUUUAAAAGUUUAUUUGUUAUAUUAAUAAAGUAUUUAUCUUUAUUAAUAUAAUGUUUAUUAAUACUUUAAAAGUUUAAUGGCUAAAUCUUGCUUUACUGUUUGACCUACAAGUCUAUCAGUCGCGUAAGCGGGGCAUAUGAUCACAAGAUGCAUUAAGGAAAGGUCUUGGAUUAUAGAAAAAGUUACGCUAGGGAUUUAUAACUGUGAGUCCUCCAAUAU
rnacentral:ncRNA from 1 species